rnacentral:rRNA from 1 species
CAGUAGCCGCGGGAAUACGUAGGGUGCAAGCGUUAAUCGGAAUUACUGGGCGUAAAGCGUGCGCAGGCGGUUAUAUAAGACAGAUGUGAAAUCCCCGGGCUCAACCUGGGAACUGCAUUUGUGACUGUAUAGCUAGAGUACGGCAGAGGGGGAUGGAAUUCCGCGUGUAGCAGUGAAAUGCGUAGAUAUGCGGAGGAACACCGAUGGCGAAGGCAAUCCCCUGGGCCUGUACUGACGCUCAUGCACGAAAGCUUGGGGAGCAAACAGGAUUAGAUACCCCAGUAGUCCCUGUCUCUUAUAC